AGCGAGCGGGAAGAGCUCAAAUUUAUAAUCUGGCACCUUCGGUGUCCGAGUUGUAAUCUCUAGAAAUGUUUUCCGCGUUGGACCGCACACAAGUCUGUUGGAAUACAGCGGCAUAGUGGUGAGACCCCCGUAUAUGGUGCGGACGCCCAGCGCUUUGUGAUACAUUUUCGAAGAGUCGAGUUGUUUGGGAAUGCAGCUCAAAUUGGGUGGUAAAUUCCAUCUAAAGCUAAAUAUUGGCGAGAGACCGAUAGCGAACAAGUACCGUGAGGGAAAGAUGAAAAGCACUUUGGAAAGAGAGUUAACAGUACGUGAAAUUGUUGGAAGGGAAACGCUUGAAGUCAGACUUGCUUGCCGAGCAAUCGGUUUGCAGGCCAGCAUCAGUUUUCCGGGAUGGAUAAUGGUAGAGAGAAGGUAGCAGUUUCGGCUGUGUUAUAGCUCUCUGCUGGAUACAUCUUGGGGGACUGAGGAACGCAGUGUGCCUUUGGCGGGGGUUUCGACCUCUUCACACUUAGGAUGCUGGUGGAAUGGCUUUAAACGACCCGUCUUGA
rnacentral:rRNA from 1 species